UAUUCAAAAUUUUAUCUAUUUCUACUGUUAAAAACUGGUAUGACGAACAUAAUAACCAAAAAGUUACAUGUGGCGUGCUACGUGUACCUCAUUCUAACAUACUGGGACCUAUUUUUAACAAUAGAAAUGAGUAGAAUUUUUAACA
rfam:Gossypium hirsutum cultivar TM-1 unplaced genomic scaffold scaffold769.1, whole genome shotgun sequence